UUUUUUUUUUUUUAUUUUUAUUUUUGGUAACAUCUGGUAUUCUUUCCUUUUUUUGGCAGUCUCUGCUUUUUCACUUUCCUCAUGCAGCAGCCCUGCGAGCCCCUGUAAUUGGGUUUGAAGGUGUCCAAAGCCAUUUGCUGUGCCGCAGCUCUGAUUUCUGCGUCAAGUCCUAGCAGCCAACCAACCUGGGAGCCAGGCCCUGCUGGCGUCCCCGAGACAGCCCCGGGAUUAUCCAGGGCUCCAGGGCUCAGCUCUGAGCUGGGAUCUCCACCUCCCAGACCAGAGAUCCAACUCACUGCCUCUAAGGGAGUCUGGGAGGAAAAGAAACAGACAAAAACAAUCUCCUUCCCCUCCCACUUUCAGCGUUGAAAGUCAAACCCCCUGAGAUGACAGGGUGUUCACCCGAUUCCAAAGAACAGGGUUUCCUCUCCCCACCACCCAGGCUGUGGGGCUGUGCCUUGGCCUGCUGUGUGCGACACUUCCCAGGAAGGGAGCAAGGUCACCCCCAACAUGAGGCAGCAGAGUCACCCCCAGCCCCAAAUUUCUGGGUCAGAGUAAGUGGACCAAGUGGGCCUGAAAGCUCACGUUCAAGGCCUUUGUAGACACCCCCCAAAGACUGUGGUUUCAUUUCCGCUGGCAAGCUGAUACCGAGCUGGGCGUGUAGGGUGCCUGCAUAAGUGUGCAUGUGUCCCUCCUUAGAACUGUAUCGAUAAUGGAAGAAAUAAAAGGAGAAAAACAUUUGGCCAAGCCCUGGGAAGGGCAGAGGGACACCCCGCUUUCUCUGCCCUAUGGACACCUGAGUCUCCCGGCUCUGCACAGCCUCAGAGAACCAGACCUCUGUUCUAACAGGCAGAGUGGUCCAACCUGCCACCCAGAGACGAAAAAGCACCAGGAAAAAGACCAAUGAAAACAGCCUUUCAAAUUCCCAGACCCUACAGACCAGCCUCUCAUGCAGUCUUGUCCAGCAAACUCGGGCCUUAAAAAAAAUAAAGGCAAGACGAGGUUUUCUUCUGAGAUGAUCUCUGCUUCCAUGAAAAGCUCCCCAAGUGUCGGGCAGCCCUGCAGAAUAUUGCUGCUCUCAAUAUAUUAUGAGCCGAAUAAAGUAGAGCAAUUGCUAAAAUGUUUGACUCAUUAGGAGGAAAAAUGAAUGGAAGCAGCAGGCAACUUGUUCGAAAGGGCAGCUAUCAGAGGACUGAGGUGGAUUCUGAAAUGCUCAAUCCCAAAGUGAAGGGACAAAUCUGUAUUCACACACACACACACACACACACACACACGAGUUAGAUUUUCUUUUACAACAAAACCACAUUUUAUUUACAAGGCCAGGCCUCCUCCCAGCUGGUAAAUGCAUUUAGAAGCAAUGAAAUCAGGCUUCACAAAUAAUAAUGGACAUCGUUGUUAAGUGAAAAGGGAAGCACUUGAUCCCAAGACAAACUUCCCCAUGCUGGGCUUUGCUGGGAAGGAAUUUGAGGCAGAAGACAGAAAUGGAAAGACAUCGUUAACACAGGCCCAGCCAAGCGGCCAACAAGCCCCCAGCAGCUGCAAGCUUUCAGCAGGGCCUUACCUGGCCAGUGACUCCCCCACACACAGGGUGCCAAGGGCCCCGCCCUCCCUGUUCCAUCUCUAACAACUGCCCAUGCACCUGCCCUUAGGGGAACUCCAGCCGAGAGGUCUGCUGCCUGCUGUCCCCAGAGCACCGGGCAUGUGCGUGGCUGCCUGCACACACACAUGUACAUUGCUACAUACACAGCAGCACAUGGGCUGCUGCUGCUCCUUACCCUGCAUUAAUUCAAAUCCAACUCUCUUAUCUUUAAUGGCUAAGCUACAGUCCAGGAGAAACAUAUACAGAAUUAUUGUUUCAGUGAUGACGGGGGUGGGAAGGGGAAGGAUGUGGGGGGAUGGGUCCCAGGCUCUUAAAAUCGUGUGCCACCAACGUCACAACCGCCAUCAUGAUGUGUACGCAUGUUUACAAGAAAUGUUCAGCAUCCAUCCGCCUGAGCUUGCAUCCGACUGGAGACUUUACACCUGCUUCCUACGAAGAGGGAGCUCUUGCCAGCAAGCCCAUGCUUACCCAUAAUCUACGAAGAGAUCUUUUCAUCUCCUCUCCGUGAACACUUGGGGAGGGGCUGGGACUCCAGGCGACACGGAAAUGCCACCACACGCACACUCGACGGAACACAACACUUUCUGAGCUGCCAUCCAUUUUUAAUUUAUUGGAUCCAAGAGAAAAAUAACAACCGUAGGGAGGGGGGACGAGAAGGGUGGAGGGGGAGAGAGCAGGAAUCAAUUCUUGGUGGAGAAAAUAAUCUAUGACUAGAUGACGCUUAAAGGCACGACAAGAGAUUUUAUGAAGUUCCCCUAACGGAGGGAAUAAUGAAGUGCCCAGCAGAGAAGGAAAUGGAGAUAAGAGGGAGGCAGGUGCCAGGAGGAUGUCCAUCAGGGGUCUUGAAGGGUUAUUAGGGCACAAGGUGGGGGUGGGGACCCUGGGAGGGCACAACCAGGCGGAGUCUGAAGCAGGAAGCAUGACCCAGAUCACCCUUCUCUGUCCUGACCCUCGACCCUCUCAGUAGACAGUCAGAGGAGUCCAGCCUGCUCCAGGUCAGCUCUGCAGCCCCCUGACAAAGGCUGCCUCCCUCGAGGGACAGAUGCAUACCACAGCCACCACCCCAUGAGGUCCUGUCUGCCCCUCCUCAACUGAGGCAUACACCUCGAUAGCCAUUUCUGACUUGUGGGAGGGAGAGCAAGGGAAGGCGGCCAGUGCAAAACACGCUUCCCAGUGUGGGUUUCCCAGGAAAAUGAUCAGGGUCAGCGGGGGAAACUUUGGGGCUGGCCUGCAGACCAGGAGGUGGGAAUUCCAGAUCCACGAAGAGGGUUUAGAUACAGGAAGAGCGUCACUCCCAUACCUCUGGUCUACAGACUCCAGGCGGGAAAGUCGAAUGUUUGGGGAGGACCUCCCAAUGUACAGACUGUUUGCAGGACUCCAGCCUGAUUUUAGAAUGCCGAAGCAGCUCCCUGAAACAUUUUCUCAGUUGUUCUACGGAGUCCAACCUCCUUCUCUCCCCCACUGCACACACCUCUCCAGAACCCCAAAAACUGAGCACAGGAGUCUGGGUCUCCCCAACACAAGAGCAGAAAAAAGAACAAGUGAAUAAGGAAAACAGUACUCAGGUAUAUCCACAGGUCUCGGCCAUCACUAAAAGGUUACAAAUUAAAGGCUUGACUAAUAAAACAGGCGCUUUAGAGAAAAAGAAAAGGAAAAGAUUUACCACAAUAGCAGUCCUUCUCAACACAUUUAGCAGGUUCUAUAAAACUGCAAAUGCCUUCCAUCUUCAGAGCCACAACAGGCUCCUAAUGAUGUGAUAUAAAAGCACUCUUUGUGGCCAAAUGAAGAGAUUUGUUUUUAUUUAACGUUAUGCUUUUUUCAAAGGUGUGGAAGAAAAGAGGGGCCUCCACACAGGACACUGGACCUCAAGGCUUUAGUUGGAGGAGUUUGGAUCUUCUGAGGCCAACAGCAAACAGCAAGGGCAGGAGUACUUUCAACAUCUCUUUUCCAAGGUAGGAAUUUAAACAUGACCCCCACACACACGCUUCUUUUUUUAAUUCUUAGCAGCGAAUCCAUUUCUGAGGCACAUGUUAAUCACAACAAUAUUGGCAUUCAACUUUUCUCGGUCAUUUCUGCGU
ensembl:lncRNA